rnacentral:rRNA from 1 species
CUCCGGUGAUCCUGCCGGACCCGACUGCUAUCGGAUUGAGAUUUAGCCAUGCGAGUCGAACGUUCCCCUGUUGCGGGGAGCGUGGCGUACGGCUCAGUAACACGUAGUCAACCUGCCCUGGAGACAAGGACAACCCCGGGAAACUGGGAUUAAUCCUUGAUAGGUCAUCUCAUCUGGAAGGAGAGAUGGCUUAAAGGGGUACGCGGGCUUCUUCCGCGAAUUCGCUCCAGGAUGGGACUGCGUCCGAUCAGGCUGUUGGCGGGGUAAUGGCCCACCAAACCUGUAACCGGUACGGGCCUUGAGAGAGGUGGCCCGGAGAUGGACACUGAGAGAAGGGUCCAGGUCCUACGGGGCGCAGCAGGCGCGAAACCUUCGCAAUGCGCGAAAGCGUGACGAGGUUAAUCCGAGUGACUCCCGCUGAGGGGGUCUUUUGUCAGCUGUAAAUAGGCAGGCGAAUAAGGGGUGGGCAAGUCUGGUGUCAGCCGCCGCGGUAAUACCAGCACCCCGAGUGGUCGGGACGUUUAUUGGGCCUAAAGCAUCCGUAGCCGGUUCUACAAGUCUUCCGUUAAAUCCACCUGCUUAACAGAUGGGCUGCGGAAGAUACUAUAGAGCUAGGAGGCGGGAGAGGCAAGCGGUACUCGAUGGGUAGGGGUAAAAUCCGUUGAUCCAUUGAAGACCACCAGUGGCGAAGGCGGCUUGCCAGAACGCGCUCGACGGUGAGGGAUGAAAGCUGGGGGAGCAAACCGGAUUAGAUACCCGGGUAGUCCCAGCUGUAAACGAUGCAGACUCGGUGAUGGGCUAGCCUUGUGCCAGCCCAGUGCCGCAGGGAAGCCGUUAAGUUUGCCGCCUGGGGAGUACGGUCGCAAGACUGAAACUUAAAGGAAUUGGCGGGGGAGCA